ACUGUCAUAUAACUAUUGAGAUUAAAAUACAAUUUGUAAACUUAUUUGUUUUUAAAAAACAAACAAAAAUAGCAUAAUAAUUUGGACCAUCCAUCACUUUCAGAAAUCAAGAUUAAGAACAUUUUGCUUGCUGGUGACUUGAUUGCAGAAAUAAAUCUACACAUAAGGUAGCUGUCACGAGUGACAAACAUGCGGACCUGAAAAACAGCGGGAGAAGGUUCCGCCCGGACCAACUUCCGCAAACACCGGCACUUAAGGGUAACUCCGGGCAACACAAAUCAGGGCGAAACACACGCCAGGUGUGCGUGAUGACACGGCGAACGCCCAUUGGAUAAACCGUGUGAGCUGGGAGGAUAAAAGGAGCAUCAGGAAACCAGGAAGUGGUCGAUUGUUGUCGUUGUUGAGAGAGCGGAGAAGCGGCGUUGUGGACCAGGCGGCGACAUUGUGGCGUGGGGACUGAAGAGACAGGCUAAACGUUGUGAAAGGAUACAGUGGAAUAUCGGGAAGAACGGCGUUUCGCCAGUAGCACCAAGGAAAAGAAGGAUCUCUUUCUGUAGUGGCCCCACCGUGGAGGAUUGAAGCCGUUGGGUGUGCCAAGGAAGGACGAGGUGCGCAGAGAGCUGCAAGGGGGCCGACGAUCUCUAUUCCACUCGCUGUGACGGUGCUCCAACAACUUCCCCCCAGGACAAAAGCUGGAUCGAGUGUGGGAGAAUUGGCCUUAUAUUUCACUAAAGAGUGUGUGCUGCUGUGGGUGAGUGUGCUAUUUCGAUGUGUGUGCACUGGAGUGUUGCAGUGUAGUGCUGUGUCUCCUGCUGUUCAUACUUACCCCAGGUCUGGCUGAAGCACCGUGUGUGUGGGCUCGUGGAAUGCUGCAGCAGUGAUACUAAUGUGGAUUUACCCCAUUAUUCCCCCUUGCCUGUGUGUGCCCCGCCGAAAAGGAAAACUGAAAAAUUUGCCAUCCGCCUCUGAAAUAGGUAUCCCUCAUACCCCCGGACGGGGCGGAGCGUGAGCCUAGUGUCUAGCCGCACGGAAGAAGCUGGUGGUUUCUCCGUCCCCAGCGGUCCAUCAACGUAGGACGCCGGCCAGGCCCAGUUACUAGGCCAGUGAGACGGGAACAGUGUCAGCUACCCAGUUCUCUACCCCGGUCA